UUUGUGCCCGCGGGCCGGACUCUGGCUCUGGUCCCUCGGCGUUUGUCGGAGGCUGGUGACCUGGUCUUUCAGCAGCUCAGGUGACGAUUUGCACCAGCCUGAGCUGCGGGGGAGUUGCCACCCGUCUGCGGAAUCCUGAGGAUGAUGAAAGGCGGCACAUGUCUGCAUCCCCCCUGACUCGGACCUGGAGCGGAGGUCCCGGGUUGGAAUCGGAAGUCGCCCACCCCGAGUGUGGUGGGAAGUCCCUCAGCCAGGACGACCUACGAUGAGGUCGGCUCUGGCGUAAAAUGAAAGCAAAAUAAAGACUAUCUCAGAUCAACAAAAACAGAGAAUCAUCACCACCAGACCUGUACUACAAGAAAUACUAAGGAAAGUUCUUCAGACUAAAGGAAAAUGACACCAAGUAAUCUACAGGAAGGAAAGAAGAGCACCAGAAAUGGCUUCUUGGUAUGGAAGAAAGGUGCUAGAGAAGAGAUUAAACAAAAGCUCUUUAAUCUUGAAUUUGAAUUGCCCCCAGUACAUAGCUGUGUAUUCUAGUUGUAGGUCCUUCUGGUUGUGGCAUGUGGGACGCCACCUCAGCAUGGCCUGAUGAGCGGUGCCAUGUCCACACCCAGGAUCCAAACCUGCAAAACCCUGGGCCACCGAAGCAGAGCACGUGAACUUAACCACUCGGUCUCAGGGCCGGCCCCCUUACAUUUGUUUUGUAUGUUUUCUACAUUUGUGCUUUAUUUUACAAUGAAUAGAGUAUUAAAAAAAUAACAAGGGAGUGUUAUGAC
rnacentral:lncRNA from 1 species